GACAGAGGGUGCAACGUUUGUUCGGAUUUACUGGCGUAAAAGCGCGUGUAGGCGGCUUCGUAAGUUGGAUGUGAAAUCCCACGGCGUCAACCGUGGACGUGCAUCCAAAACUACGUCGCUGGAGUCUCGGAGAGGAAGGUGGAAUGCUUGGUGUAGAGGUGAAAUUCGUAGAUAUCAAGCAGAACACCUGCGGCGAAGGCGGCCUUCUGGACGAUGACUGACGCUGGAGAACGCGAAAGCGUGGGGAGCAAACAGG
rnacentral:rRNA from 1 species